rnacentral:rRNA from 1 species
UUCAACAACGGAUCUCUUGGUUCUGGCAUCGAUGAAGAACGCAGCGAAAUGCGAUAAGUAAUGUGAAUUGCAGAAUUCAGUGAAUCAUCGAAUCUUUGAACGCACAUUGCGCCCG